rnacentral:rRNA from 1 species
AUUGAACGCUGGCGGCAGGCUUAACACAUGCAAGUCGAGCGGGGUGAUGGUGCUUGCACUAUCACUUAGCGGCGGACGGGUGAGUAAUGCUUAGGAAUCUGCCUAUUAGUGGGGGACAACAUCUCGAAAGGGAUGCUAAUACCGCAUACGUCCUACGGGAGAAAGCAGGGGAUCACUUGUGACCUUGCGCUAAUAGAUGAGCCUAAGUCGGAUUAGGUAGUUGGUGGGGUAAAGGCCUACCAAGGCGACGAUCUGUAGCGGGUCUGAGAGGAUGACCCGCCACACUGGGACUGGGACACGGCCCAGACUCCUACGGGAGGCAGCAGGAGGGAAUAUUGGACAAUGGGGGGAACCCUGGUCCAGCCAUGCCGCGUGUGUGAAGAAGGCCUUAUGGUUGUAAAGCACUUUAAGCGAGGAGGAGGCUCUUUUGGUUAAUACCCAAGAUGAGUGGACGUUACUCGCAGAAUAAGCACCGGCUAACUCUGUGCCAGCCGCCGCCGUAA